GAAGUUGACCAAACAGUCGCUGUUUAGUUUUUAUAAAACUAAAAAGAGGAAAGUCCGGGCUCCUUAGAGCAAGGUGCCAGGUAACUCCUGGAGAGCGUGAGCUUAUGACUAGUGCAACAGAAAGAAAACCACCAAAUAUAUUUUUUAUUGUAAUAAAAACAUAUUGGAAAGGGUGAAAAGGUGCGGUAAAAGCGCACCGCAUAAUUGGUAACAAUUAUGGCACGGUAAACUCCACCUGGAGCAAAGCCAAAUAGAGGUUAUAAAUUGGUAUUGCUCGUACCAAAAAAACCUGGGUAGGCUGCUUGAGUUAGUAAGCAAUUACUAUCCUAGAUAAAUGACUGUUCAAAACAGAACCCGGCUUAUAGGUCAACUUCCGAA
rnacentral:RNase_P_RNA from 1 species